rnacentral:rRNA from 1 species
CGCCACUUUGUGAUUCAUGACUGGGGUGAAGUCGUAACAAGGUAACCGUAGGGGAACCUGCGGUUGGAUCACCUCCUUACCUUAAAGAA